CGUGGGGUGACCGUCCCUGCGGGAGUGGGGAGAGCGGCUCUGGAGAGCGCAGCCCGGACGGAGUCAGUGACGCGGGAGUCACCGCGGCGAGUAAACGUAGCGCCCGUCCCCCGGUAGGUGCCGAAAGGACGAGAUUAAGUUGGCACCUGCUGUGUGGGCUAGGCGUUGUCCACAGCACCCUGUGUCCUCCCCCCGCCCCGCGAGGUAGGUGUUGCCAUCUUGUUUCCUCGGGGGACACCGAGGCUGGCGAGUGGUCGGCCUGCGACUGGAACCAGGUUCUUUCCUCCAUUCCGCACGGGAGCAUUUUAACCAGCAAUUAAACCAACCCUAUUUCUAGGAAUCAACAUGGCUCCUGAGCCCAUGAUGUUAUUUAGGAAGACGCCUCACCCCACUGCCAACUCCCACGCCACAUGGGCCAGUCCACGUCCUAACAUCUGUCAAGGCUCCUUUCUUGCUCCUUGCUUUACUCACCCUGCCUACUGUCCCAACAUCUGAACAGCAUUCCUUCCAGGGCCCUGCAAAGUCUCCCAAACUGCAGCCUCCAGCCCUCCCGGCCCAAGAAGAGCUCAGAGGAAGCUGAACUCCGACUUGAACAGGAGCAGGCACAGAAGGGGCAGGGGACCCGGGAACUGGAUAGGGUCUAGGGGCAGAGAGACUGAGGUUCUGGAAGAGAUCCUGAGACGCAGACAGGAGUGGGAAAGACAGGGUGGGAAGGCACGGGGGUGGGGCUGACGCUGCCAGGAGUGACAAAGGCACAGACGAUGGGAUGAAGAUGGGGUCACUGAGGGGCUGCCAGGAGCAGCCAGUGGACAAACGGAAGACAGUGGGAGAGACAGAUGGCGAUGGGGCUGGGCUGGCUGGUGCAGUGAGUGCACGAAGGACAGUGGGAUGGAUGGG